CGGGGAAUCCAGAGACAGGUGCUGCAUGGCUGUCGUCAGCUCGUGCCGUGAGGUGUUGGGUUAACGUCCCGCAACGAGCGCCAACCCCUAUUCUCAGUUGCCAGCACAUAAUGGUGGGCACUCUGUGGAGACUGCCACCUAAGUGGAGGAAGGUGGGGAUGACGUCAAGUCAGCAUGGCCCUUACGUCCGGGGCUACACACGUGCUACAAUGGCCGGUACAAAGGGUUGCGAAGCCGUGAGGUGGAGCGAAUCUCAAAAAGCCGGCCUCAGUUCGGAUUGGAGGCUGCAACUCGCCUCCAUGAAGUCGGAAUCGCUAGUAACCGCAGAUCAGCUACGUUGCGGUGAAUACGUUCCCGGGCCUU
rnacentral:rRNA from 1 species